rnacentral:rRNA from 1 species
ACAAUGGAGAGUUUGAUCCUGGCUCAGGAUGAACGCUAGCUACAGGCUUAACACAUGCAAGUCGAGGGGAAACGACAUCGAAAGCUUGCUUUUGAUGGGCGUCGACCGGCGCACGGGUGAGUAACGCGUAUCCAACCUGCCCACCACUUGGGGAUAACCUUGCGAAAGUAAGACUAAUACCCAAUGACGUCUCUAGAAGACAUCUGAAAGAGAUUAAAGAUUUAUCGGUGAUGGAUGGGGAUGCGUCUGAUUAGCUUGUUGGCGGGGUAACGGCCCACCAAGGCGACGAUCAGUAGGGGUUCUGAGAGGAAGGUCCCCCACAUUGGAACUGAGACACGGUCCAAACUCCUACGGGAGGCAGCAGUGAGGAAUAUUGGUCAAUGGGCGAGAGCCUGAACCAGCCAAGUAGCGUGCAGGAUGACGGCCCUAUGGGUUGUAAACUGCUUUUAUAAGGGAAUAAAGUGAGUCUCGUGAGACUUUUUGCAUGUACCUUAUGAAUAAGGACCGGCUAAUUCCGUGCCAGCAGCCGCGGUAAUACGGAAGGUCCGGGCGUUAUCCGGAUUUAUUGGGUUUAAAGGGAGCGUAGGCCGGAGAUUAAGCGUGUUGUGAAAUGUAGACGCUCAACGUCUGCACUGCAGCGCGAACUGGUUUCCUUGAGUACGCACAAAGUGGGCGGAAUUCGUGGUGUAGCGGUGAAAUGCUUAGAUAUCACGAAGAACUCCGAUUGCGAAGGCAGCUCACUGGAGCGCAACUGACGCUGAAGCUCGAAAGUGCGGGUAUCGAACAGGAUUAGAUACCCUGGUAGUCCGCACGGUAAACGAUGGAUGCCCGCUGUUGGUCUGAAUAGGUCAGCGGCCAAGCGAAAGCAUUAAGCAUCCCACCUGGGGAGUACGCCGGCAACGGUGAAACUCAAAGGAAUUGACGGGGGCCCGCACAAGCGGAGGAACAUGUGGUUUAAUUCGAUGAUACGCGAGGAACCUUACCCGGGCUUGAAUUGCAGAGGAAGGAUUUGGAGACAAUGACGCCCUUCGGGG